CAGGAUUUGGACAAAAAAAGACUGAAAUAAUAUUUUAACCUGCUUACAGGGAUUCAAACCCAUCUCUCUCAGCAGAGUGCCCUAAUCACUCUGUGGUUUAGGGAAGGAAGCACACUCCACAUGCCUACUGCUGAAAUUGCUCCAGGAUUCACUGGUGGAGGGAGAAGAACUAGGAGAGGCAGAUGGAAAACAGAUUGUAUUCCUGUGGAAAACUCCAGGAAAAUAAGAAAUAUUUUAUGUCAUUGCUGUAUUCCAACUACUGCAAUUGUUUUCACCUUGUUUUACUGUUAUAUUGACCUUCACCCAAAUAUUUGCAUAGCACAAAUAUAGUAAGUAAAUUAAUUUCAAAAAGUGAGAAAUCUGAUUUCAUUCCAACCUGAGGGAAUUCAAAACCAUCCUUAUAUUUUCUGAAAAGUCUUCUAACAGACAUGCUGUUAAGAAUAUUUGAGCUUUGGUGCUAAUAGAAAAUGAAGGCAUAUAGAAAUUUUAAGAAAAUUGAGUCAUUGAAGCUGGGGCUCUACAACCAGUGAUGCAGAACCCAGGGAUCCAGAAGCACAGCAUCCCAGCAGCUGCCCUGCAGAGAAAAUAAAUAUGUGGACCCCUACCUGAACA
rnacentral:lncRNA from 1 species